rnacentral:rRNA from 1 species
AUGGUGGUUGAGGUGCUCUCUGGUGACUUGGGGGUCGCGGCCUCCCGCUCCCCGACGGCUCCUGGUGGAGUGGAAGCUGGCUGUGUGCUCAUCCACGACUCUGCCCCCACCCCUCCCUCCGGGUGUCGCGGCUUGGGUGGCUCGGGCAGACCUCCCAAGAAGACGGCGGGCCGGAAGCCGGCUGCUAAGGCGAGUGCGGUGAUGGAGUCGGAGCAGAUUCGGGGUGAUCUAGGAGCGGCGCUGGCGUCGGUGGGUGCGGGUGCUAAGGCCAAGCGGUCCAAGGCGACUCCGGUGCCGCAGCGUGCCCCAAGUGCGAGGUCCAAGGCGACUCCGGUGCCGCAGCAUGCCCUAAGCGCGAGGUCCAAGGCCAAGCUGGGAGAUCUAUCCUCUCUAGAGAGCGCCAAGCUUCGUACUGCUGACAAGAACUUGGAGGUUUCAGACUUGGACACCGUUGGGGAAACUGCGUGA